rnacentral:rRNA from 1 species
AGCCGAACUGAGAGGUUGAUCGGCCACAUUGGGACUGAGACACGGCCCAAACUCCUACGGGAGGCAGCAGUAGGGAAUCUUCCACAAUGGACGCAAGUCUGAUGGAGCAACGCCGCGUGAGUGAAGAAGGCUUUCGGGUCGUAAAACUCUGUUGUUGGAGAAGAAUGGUCGGCAGAGUAACUGUUGUCGGCGUGACGGUAUCCAACCAGAAAGCCACGGCUAACUACGUGCCAGCAGCCGCGGUAAUACGUAGGUGGCAAGCGUUAUCCGGAUUUAUUGGGCGUAAAGCGAGCGCAGGCGGUUUUUUAAGUCUGAUGUGAAAGCCCUCGGCUUAACCGAGGAAGUGCAUCGGAAACUGGGAAACUUGAGUGCAGAAGAGGACAGUGGAACUCCAUGUGUAGCGGUGAAAUGCGUAGAUAUAUGGAAGAACACCAGUGGCGAAGGCGGCUGUCUGGUCUGUAACUGACGCUGAGGCUCGAAAGCAUGGGUAGCGAACAGGAUUAGAUACCCUGGUAGUCCAUGCCGUAAACGAUGAAUGCUAGGUGUUGGAGGGUUUCCGCCCUUCAGUGCCGCAGCUAACGCAUUAAGCAUUCCGCCUGGGGAGUACGACCGCAAGGUUGAAACUCAAAGGAAUUGACGGGGGCCCGCACA